GGAGGAAAGUAGGGGAUCGUAAGACCUCCCGUUAAUGGAGUGGCAGAUAUCUGAUUAGCUAGUUGGUGAGGUAAAGGCUCACCAAGGCGACGAUCAGUAGCUGGUCUGAGAGGACGACCAGCCACACUGGAACUGAGACACGGUCCAGACUCCUACGGGAGGCAGCAGUGGGGAAUUUUGGACAAUGGGCGCAAGCCUGAUCCAGCCAUUCCGCGUGAGUGAAGAAGGCCUUCGGGUUGUAAAGCUCUUUCGCAAGGGAAGAAAACUUACUCAAUAACACUGGGUGAGGCUGACGGUACCUUGAUAAGAAGCACCGGCUAACUACGUGCCAGCAGCCGCGGUAAUACGUAGGGUGCGAGCGUUAAUCGGAAUUACUGGGCGUAAAGCGUGCGCAGGCGGUUUUGUAAGUCAGAUGUGAAAGCCCCGGGCUCAACCUGGGAACUGCGUUUGAAACUACAAGGCUAG
rnacentral:rRNA from 1 species